rnacentral:rRNA from 1 species
AGUGAACGCUGGCGGUAGGCCUAACACAUGCAAGUCGAACGGCAGCACAGUAAGAGCUUGCUCUUACGGGUGGCGAGUGGCGGACGCGUGAGGAAUACAUCGGAAUCUACUUUUUCGUGGGGGAUAACGUAGGGAAACUUACGCUAAUACCGCAUACGACCUACGGGUGAAAGCAGGGGAUCUUCGGACCUUGCGCGAUUGAAUGAGCCGAUGUCGGAUUAGCUAGUUGGCGGGGUAAAGGCCCACCAAGGCGACGAUCCGUAGCUGGUCUGAGAGGAUGAUCAGCCACACUGGAACUGAGACACGGUCCAGACUCCUACGGGAGGCAGCAGUGGGGAAUAUUGGACAAGGGGCGCAAGCCUGAUCCAGCCAUACCGCGUGGGUGAAGAAGGCCUUCGGGUUGUAAAGCCCUUUUGUUGGGAAAGAAAAGCAGCAGGUUAAUACCCCGCUGUUCGGACGGUACCCAAAGAAUAAGCACCGGCUAACUUCGU